rnacentral:rRNA from 1 species
CCUACGGGAGGCAGCAGUGAGGAAUAUUGGUCAAUGGCCGAGAGGCUGAACCAGCCAAGUCGCGUGAGGGAAGAAUGUCCUAUGGAUUGUAAACCUCUUUUGUCAGGGAGCAAAGUCACCCACGUGUGGGUGUUGGCGAGUACCUGAAGAAAAAGCAUCGGCUAACUCCGUGCCAGCAGCCGCGGUAAUACGGAGGAUGCGAGCGUUAUCCGGAUUUAUUGGGUUUAAAGGGUGCGUAGGCGGGUUAUCAAGUCAGCGGUAAAAUUGUGGAGCUCAACUCCAUCCAGCCGUUGAAACUGGUAGACUUGAGUUGGCGAGAAGUAUGCGGAAUGCGUGGUGUAGCGGUGAAAUGCAUAGAUACCGCGCAGAACUCCGAUUGCGAAGGCAGCGUACCGGCGCCCGACUGACGCUGAAGCACGAAAGCGUGGGUAUCGAACAGGAUUAGAUACCCGAGUAGUC